rnacentral:lncRNA from 1 species
UAUAAAUAGCUACUCUGUAACUACCUAGUAACAACUUUUGAGAUCAAUUCCAAAUUUUCUCUCUAACUGUUUCUCCCAUUCCUGUCUCUGUUUCUCUCUCUACAAUUUCUCUUCUCCUCUCUUGCUCCGAUCAUCGUCUCGGGUGUAUCUCCGGCGAUCGCCGGAAUAUUCCCACUUCGGGCGUUCACGGAUCAUCGCUAUACACCUUGAUUGAAGACCAGGUAUCCUUCAUCGACGCCAUCGCACUCAGGAUCGG